CGGAUCCUCGCGCUUAAAACAGCGGCGUACGCUUCUAAAAUGAGCUCAAACAAAAGACGUUUUGUUUUGUUUCUUUUACCGAGAGUCCACAGAGAAAGCCGGGAUUAUGUCACAACUGUUCACUGAUAAGAAGCUGCACAUCUUAUGAAACUAUUACAAAUCAAACAAAGACAGAAAAUGGCUGUAGGAGCAAAGCGUGCUGCUGUGAAAGCUGCAGAGUAGCAGAGCACGGGAGGUGUGAUGUCCGUGCUGUGCAGCGCACGGGACAGAAAAUAGAAAGAGGGCUUCAUUAUAUGACUGAAGCCUUGAAGACCUGGAACAUUCUUGUAUAUUCUUUUGUACAUAUUUUCUGUAACAGCAUACGCGCUUGUGAAAAUCCCAGAGUUGUCCAAUCCAAACCAAUCCGGAGGAUCAAUAUCCUUAGCAGAAAGGUGAUGACCUCAACUGCUACAACACACGAUGCACAUGUUUUCUAAACAUAAAGCACAUGCAUGUAUGAACAAAGAGCAACCCUGCACACUUCAUAAGGAUGGUUAUUACUGUAUGUCGCAUUAAAGCAUCAUGUGGUCCCAGACAGCAUUAUUUAUCCUCAAGAAAUCAUGGCAAUAAUAGAUUAUUUUCAAUAAUAGAUAGAUUUUCAUUUAACAAUGUCUUUGUUUUGUAUGUUUUUUAAGCCUUUUUUUUAUAAAAUGUAUUGAGAGAUUGUAUUUUGUAUCUAAAUGUGGAAGAGGAUGUAACUUUGAGGCAGCACUGAGGUUUCAUAAAAAAAGGACAAUGCAAAUGGGCUGUAGCCUUGAUCGUGUCCCUCAACUGGAUCAUCCGGCAGAAACUAUAAUGCGUUUCUUCUUCUCUGCAUUUUUCAACAUCCAGACAACAAUACUCUUGAUUGUUGGGAUCUUUAA
ensembl:lncRNA